rnacentral:rRNA from 1 species
AGAGUUUGAUCCUGGCUCAGGAUGAACGCUGGCGGCGUGCUUAACACAUGCAAGUCGAACGGGGAACAUUUUAUUGAAGCUUCGGCAGAUUUAGCUUGUUUCUAGUGGCGGACGGGUGAGUAACGCGUGGGUAACCUGCCUCACACUGGGGGAUAACAGUCAGAAAUGGCUGCUAAUACCGCAUAAGCGCACAGCAUCGCAUGAUGCCGUGUGAAAAACUCCGGUGGUGUGAGAUGGACCCGCGUUGGAUUAGCUAGUUGGCAGGGCAACGGCCUACCAAGGCGACGAUCCAUAGCCGGCCUGAGAGGGUGAACGGCCACAUUGGGACUGAGACACGGCCCAGACUCCUACGGGAGGCAGCAGU